rnacentral:rRNA from 1 species
GACGAACGCUGGCGGCGUGCUUAACACAUGCAAGUCGAACGGAAAGGCCCUGCUUUUGUGGGGUGCUCGAGUGGCAAACGGGUGAGUAACACGUGAGUAACCUGCCCUUGACUUUGGGAUAACUUCAGGAAACUGGGGCUAAUACCGGAUAGGAGCUCCUGCUGCAUGGUGGGGGUUGGAAAGUUUCGGCGGUUGGGGAUGGACUCGCGGCUUAUCAGCUUGUUGGUGGGGUAGUGGCUUACCAAGGCUUUGACGGGUAGCCGGCCUGAGAGGGUGACCGGCCACAUUGGGACUGAGAUACGGCCCAGACUCCUACGGGAGGCAGCAGUGGGGAAUAUUGCACAAUGGGCGGAAGCCUGAUGCAGCAACGCCGCGUGCGGGAUGACGGCCUUCGGGUUGUAAACCGCUUUCGCCUGUGACGAAGCGUGAGUGACGGUAAUGGGUAAAGAAGCACCGGCUAGCUACGUG